AGUGGAUGUAUGCCAUGAUGAUAAGAUAUCAGAAAUCCUAUCACCGGGUGUACAUCAGCUAA
rnacentral:pre_miRNA from 1 species